rnacentral:rRNA from 1 species
GCAAGUCGAGCGAGAAGUUAUUUAAUGAAUCUUCGGAUGAUUUAAAUAAUGGAAAGCGGCGGACGGGUGAGUAACGCGUGGGUAACCUGCCCUAUGCAGGGGGAUAACACACUGAAAAGUGUGCUAAUACCGCAUAAGACCACAGCAUCACAUGAUGUAGAGGUAAAAACUCCGGUGGCAUAGGAUGGACCCGCGUCUGAUUAGCUAGUAGGUAAGGUAACGGCUUACCUAGGCAACGAUCAGUAGCCGACCUGAGAGGGUGAUC